rnacentral:rRNA from 1 species
UACGUAGGGUGCGAGCGUUGUCCGGAAUUACUGGGCGUAAAGCGCACGUAGGCGGCUUUGUAAGUUAGAGGUGAAAGCCCGGGGCUCAACUCCGGAAUUGCCUUUAAGACUGCAUCGCUAGAAUUGUGGAGAGGUAAGUGGAAUUCCGAGUGUAGAGGUGAAAUUCGUAGAUAUUCGGAAGAACACCAGUGGCGAAGGCGACUUACUGGACACAUAUUGACGCUGAGGUGCGAAAGCGUGGGGAGCAAACCGG